rnacentral:tRNA from 1 species
GGCAAGGUUGCUCAGUGGUAGAGCACUUGCCUUGCAUGCAAGAGGCCCUGGGUUCGAUUCCUCAGCACCA